AAGAUUACCAAAGUCUAAGGUUACUGUGUCCUUGAAUGCGUCCCAGUAAGCAAAGUUGAAUCACAUCCUAACGUCAAAUAUCAGAGUAAGAUGUGUUACUAGCAGUGUAAUGACAGAUUAAUGCAUCAAACUAAGAAUAGGAAACAGGAUGUUUUGCCUAUGUUUGCCUCUGCAAAUAAGGUUAUUGUGAUUUACGGCCAAGAAUGAUGAACUUUUUCCCAAAAAUUGAGGAUCGGUCCUUAAAGAAGACAACUACUAAAAUUAGUAAAAUGAAAAAUAAAAAUCAUAUGAAUGGAAGAUGCAAGAGUCACGAGAAGUCAAGGAUCACAAAGAAAAUAGAAAGAUGAAUUAAAAUCGGAUC